rnacentral:rRNA from 1 species
CGGGUGCGUAACGCGUAUGUAACCUACCUAUAACAGGGGCAUAACACUGAGAAAUUGGUACUAAUUCCCCAUAAUAUUCGGAGAGGCAUCUCUCCGGGUUGAAAACUCCGGUGGUUAUAGAUGGACAUGCGUUGUAUUAGCUAGUUGGUGAGGUAACGGCUCACCAAGGCAACGAUACAUAGGGGGACUGAGAGGUUAACCCCCCACACCGGUACUGAGACACGGACCAGACUCCUACGGGAGGCAGCAGUGAGGAAUAUUGGUCAAUGGACGCAAGUCUGAACCAGCCAUGCCGCGUGCAGGAAGACGGCUCUAUGAGUUGUAAACUGCUUUUGUACGAGGGUAAACUCACCUACGUGUAGGUGACUGAAAGUAUCGUACGAAUAAGGAUCGGCUAACUCCGUGCCAGCAGCCGCGGUAAUACGGAGGAUUCAAGCGUUAUCCGGAUUUAUUGGGUUUAAAGGGUGCGUAGGCGGUUUGAUAAGUUAGGGGUGAAAUCCCGGGGCUCAACUCCGGAACUGCC